rnacentral:rRNA from 1 species
UACGUAGGGAGCGAGCGUUGUCCGAAGUUACUGGGCGUAAAGCGCGCGUAGGCGGGUUUGAAAGUCGGAGGUGAAAUGCUGGGGCUCAACUCCAUGCAGUGCCUCCGAUACUUCAAGUCUUGAGUGCGGUAGGGAGAAGUGGAAUGGCUGGUGUAGCGGUGAAAUGCGUAGAUAUCAGUCGGAACACCGGUGGCGAAGGCGGGUCUCUGGACAAUUCCUGACGCUCAGGCACGAAAGCCAGGGGAGCAAACGGG